AUCCUUAUCGACAAUCUUAAUCACAAAGUUUGGUGGGGCAACAACCAGCCUAGACCGGAUCUCCAGGAUGCAUUUAUCUGCCAAAUCAACAGCUUCUUCAACUGUCAUGUCCUUGCGGUAGUGCCUAUCCAUCAUGGCGAGAGAGAAGUAUGAGCCAUAGCCAAAUGCUGCCUUAUCCACCUUGUGAAGAGUAGCAAUAUAAUCAAUGUAAUACAGAGAAGGGCCUGUCUCCUUGUCAUAUCCAGCCAGGAUAAUGUUCACCAUGUAUGGGUUCUACAAAAAUAAACAUUGCAUUUUAACAAAUGUGUAUCAGAAAACCAAAUUGUACAUGGUAAACUAUUGAAUAGAUUGUGACACAUAUGGUAUUAGUUAAAUCUUUUGGUUGCAGAGUAGAGAAACAAAAUAAAGCCAAACCUGGGCAGCAAUUUAGCUGUAGAUAAAAGAAAAUGUGCAAACUGUAAUGAACUGGCAAAACAUUAAACAUUAAAGCCUGAGAUAUUCAAAUGUUAUGGUUAAACAGAACAGUGACACUCCUUUGUGAACCCAUCAUGCUUAUAAAGAGAAAUGGUGGAUAGAUAAAUGAUGCACCUAUUUAAGUGGAUCCCACAGGUGUAUAAAUCAAAUAAUUACCAGACAGUAGCAACUGAAGCAUGUGGCGGUGGAUGGACUUAUCUCAGGCUUUAAUGUUUAAUGUUUUGCCAGUUCAUUACAGUUUGCUGAGUAUCAUUCUCAAUAGACAAAUUAUGAGAAUCUUGCACAUUUUCUUUUAUCUACAGCUAAAUUGCUGCCCAGGUUUGGCUUUAUUUUGUUUCUCUACUCUGCAACCAAAAGAUUUAACUAAUACCAUAUGCGUCACAAUCUAUUCAAUAGUUUACCAUGUACAAUUUGGUUUUCUGAUACACAUUUGUUAAAAUGCAAUGUUUAUUUUUGUAGAACCCAUACAUGGUGAACAUUAUCCUGGCUGGAUAUGACAAGGAGACAGGCCCUUCUCUGUAUUACAUUGAUUAUAUUGCUACUCUUCACAAGGUGGAUAAGGCAGCAUUCGGCUAUGGCUCCUACUUCUCUCUCGCCAUGAUAUGAUUAGGCAUAUGACUAGUUCUUUCGCCUUGCGGGGGACAGCCAGGUUCCUUGGUGGUAGAGCUUGUUGAAACUGUCUUUGCUUCCACCUUUCUCCCUUUAUCUAUUAUUUGAUUUUCCCCCAAUCAGACUUCACUACUUUGUGUAUAAGAUCUCUAUGCCUAAUCAAAACUGUCUCAAGUGGGAGGGAUAGUAGUAGAAAUACAAAUUGGUAGUAUUUCCUAAAUUCCUUCUCUUUUUUGCUCUUUCUUUUUCAUUUUAGACGCUAAACACAAGGCUACCCUGUAUCUUCAACCAAAAGCUCUCUUCUCUUAUCCUCUCCUCAAAUCAACCUCACCUCGGUCAUUAUUAUUUUCAUUUGCCCAUUAAGUAAUUGUAUUAUUCUUGGCUUUAAACAAUAGGUGCAUCUUAGAUUUAG
rnacentral:lncRNA from 1 species